AGAGCUGAAGAAGAGAAAUGUCUCUAUACACUAUCAAUCUUGAGGUCAACUAUAGUACAAGUUGAGAAACUUGCAUUUGUUGUAAUUCUGUUGUCAGAAUUGCAAAUGGGCGAAAGUCAGCCAGGUAAUGUACUUUUCCUUUUAUUGUU